rnacentral:rRNA from 1 species
UUCCCGGGCCUUGUACACACCGCCCGUCACACCACGAAAGUUGGCAAUACCCGAAGCCGGUGGCCUAACCCGCAAGGGAGGGAGCCGUCUAAGGUAGGGUCGAUGAUUGGGUG